rnacentral:tRNA from 1 species
UGUCAGGGUAGAGCAGAGGUAGCUCGCUUGGCUCAUAACCAAGAGGUCGCCGGUUCGAAUCCGGCCCCUGCAACCA